rnacentral:misc_RNA from 1 species
AGAAAGCAGCAUACUCUUCCUUUGUGAUCUCUUCUGGCUUUCUCAUCCAAAUAGGCUUCUGCUUGUUCACCAGUGACCACUCAUUGGAAACUUCUUUGACCUUCUUCUUUUUCUUCUCUUCCUUCUCCUUUUCUUCAUCAACCUCCUCUACCUUUCCUUCCUCAUCUUUCUUCUCCUCUUCGUCCUCAUCAUCCGAGAUUUCCUUUUCUAUGGUCUUCUCAACCCACAAAGAGAUUGGAUAGCUGAUGAACUCAGAAUGCUUCUUAAUAAGGUCCUUGAGCCUUCGCUCCUCAAGGUAUUCAAGCUGGUCCUCCUUGAGGAAGAGGGUCAUUUUGGUACCCCUGCCAAGGUUCUCACCAGAUGUAUCUCUCGUAACAGUGAAUGAACCACCAGCUUGUGAUUCCCAAACAUAUUGUUCAUCAUCAUUGUGCUUUGUGGUCACAACCACCCUCUCAGCAACCAAAUAAGCAGAAUAGAAACCAACACCAAAUUGCCCGAUCAUGCUAACAUCAGCACCAGCAGCAAUGGCCUCCAUAAAUUCCUUGGUGCCAGACCUAGCAAUUGUACCAAGGUUGUUCACCAGAUCAGCCUUUGUCAUACCAACACCACUGUCAAUGAUUGUGAGGGUAUUGUUGGUCUUGUCAGGGACGAUGUGAAUGAAAAGUUCAGGUUGAGCAUCUAGCUUGCUCUUGUCAGUCAAACUCUGGAAACGGAUCUUGUCCAGUGCAUCAGAAGAGUUACUAAUGAGUUCCCUGAGAAAGAUCUCUUUGUUACUAUAAAAAGUAUUGAUGAUGAGACUCAGAAGCUGGUUGAUCUCAGCUUGAAAUGCAAACGUCUCUGCCUCCGCCAUUUUUGUGUGAUCUACAAAGAGUGAAAUGAAAGAGAAAGAGAAGAGAUGGAGAUGGAGAUGGUCUUUUUGUUCAAGUCCAGAAGUGAAAGUUGUUGAACCAUGUAUGUAAUAGCUUGUGUUGUUGACCUAGU